UACAGAGGGGGCAAGCGUUGUUCGGAAUUACUGGGCGUAAAGGGCGCGUAGGCGGCCUUCUAAGUCGAACGUGAAAUCCCCGGGCUCAACCCGGGAACUGCGUCCGAUACUGGAAGGCUUGAAUCCGGGAGAGGGAUGCGGAAUUCCAGGUGUAGCGGUGAAAUGCGUAGAUAUCUGGAGGAACACCGGUGGCGAAGGCGGCAUCCGUGGACUGGUACUGACGCUCAUGAGCGAAAGCGUGGGAGCGAGUCCGG
rnacentral:rRNA from 1 species